rnacentral:rRNA from 1 species
UACGUAGGGACCGAGCGUUGUCCGGAUUCAUUGGGCGUAAAGAGCUCGUAGGCGGCCACUCAAGUCGAAUGUGAAACCUCGAGGCUUAACCUCGAGCCUGCAUUCGAUACUGGGCGGCUAGAGUCUGGUAGGGGGAUCUGGAAUUCCUGGUGUAGCGGUGGAAUGCGCAGAUAUCAGGAGGAACACCGGUGGCGAAGGCGGCUACCUGGACAGGUACUGACGCUGAAGCGCGAAAGCUAGGGGAGCAAACAGG